rnacentral:rRNA from 1 species
CAUUCCGCGUGUGUGAAGAAGGCCUUCGGGUUGUAAAACACUUUCAGUAAGGAGGAAAGGUUAAGUUUUAAUAGAACUUAGCUGUGACGUUACUUACAGAAGAAGCACCGGCUAAUUCCGUGCCAGCAGCCGCGGUAAUACGGAGGGUGCGAGCGUUAAUCGGAAUUACUGGGCGUAAAGCGUACGCAGGCGGUUUGUUAAGCGAGAUGUGAAAGCCCCGGGCUCAACCUGGGAACUGCAUUUUGAACUGGCAAACUAGAGUGUGAUAGAGGGUGGUAGAAUUUCAGGUGUAGCGGUGAAAUGCGUAGAGAUCCGAAGGAAUACCGA